AGAGUUUGAUCCUGGCUCAGAACGAACGCUGGCGGCGUGGAUAAGACAUGCAAGUCGAGCGCUCACUGCGUUGCAGCAAUGUGACGGAGUGGGAGCGGCGCAAGGGUGCGUAACACGUGGGUAAUUUGCCAUGAAGACCGGGAUAACUCGCUGAAAGGCGAGCUAAUACCGGAUGUGAUCCCCGGGAGGCAUCUUCUGGGGAUGGAAGUUGGGGACCCGCAAGGGCCUGACGCUUCAUGAUAAGCCCGCGGCCUAUCAGCUAGUUGGCGGGGUAACGGCCCACCAAGGCGAAGACGGGUAGCUGGUCUGAGAGGACGACCAGCCACACUGGAACUGAGAGACGGUCCAGACACCUACGGGUGGCAGCAGUCGAGAAUUUUUCUCAAUGGGGGAAACCCUGAAGGAGCGACGCCGCGUGGGGGAUGAAGGGCUUCGGCCUGUAAACCCCUGUCAUUUGCGAACAAACCCCAUUCAUGAACAGUGGGUGGGUUGAUUGUAGCGAAAGAGGAAGGGACGGCUAACUCUGUGCCAGCAGCCGCGGUAAUACAGAGGUCCCGAGCGUUGUUCGGAUUCACUGGGCGUAAAGGGUGCGUAGGCGGCGGGGCAAGUUUGAUGUGAAAGCUCGCAGCUCAACUGCGAAAUGGCAUUGAAGACUGCUCUGCUGGAGGCUUGGAUGGGGGACUGGAAUUCUCGGUGUAGCAGUGAAAUGCGUAGAUAUCGAGAGGAACACCAGUGGCGAAGCGAGUCCCUGGACAGACCUGACGCUGAGGCACGAAGCUAGGGGAGCAAACAGAUUAGAUACCCUGUUAGUCUAGCGUAACGUGUGCACUGGCUGUAAAGAAUCGACCCCUUUGUGACGCAGCACGCGAUAGUGCACGGCCUUGGAGUAGCGGAUCGCCCAGAUUAAAACUCAAAGAAAUUGACGGGGGCCUGCACAAGCGGUGGAGUAUGUGGCUUAAUUCGAUGCAACGCGAAGAACCUUACCUGGCCUUGACAUGCAUCUAGUAGAAGGGUGAAAGCCUGACGAGGGAGCAAUCCCAGGAUGCACAGGUGCUGCAUGGCUGUCGUCAGCUCGUGUCGUGAGAUGUUGGGUUAAGUCCCGCAACGAGCGCAACCCCUACGUCCUGUUGCGACCCGGUCGAGAGACUGGAGCACUCUGGACGGACUGCCUCGCUUCAACGAGGAGGAAGGUGGGGAUGACGUCAAGUCAGGAUGGCCCUUACGGCCAGGGCUGCACACGUACUACAAUGCCCGGCACAAAGGGAAGCGAGACCGUCAGGUGGAGCAAAUCCCAGAAAACCGGGCCCAGUUCAGAUUGCCGGCUGCAACUCGCCGGCAUGAAGCUGGAAUCGCUAGUAAUGGCGCAUCAGCUACGGCGCCGUGAAUACGUUCCCAGGCCUUGUACACACCGCCCGU
rnacentral:rRNA from 1 species